GGUGGGGAUGACGUCAAGUCAGCAUGGCCUUUAUAUCCUGGGCUACACACACGCUACAAUGGCCGGUACAAUGGGUCGCGAAGCCGCGAGGUGGAGCCAAUCCACAAAGCCGGUCUCAGUUCAGAUUGCAGGCUGCAACCCGCCUGCAUGAAGACGGAGUUGCUAGUAACCGCAGGUCAGCUAUACUGCGGUGAAUACGUUCCCGGGCCUUGUACACACCGCCCGUCACGUCAUGGGAGCUGGUAACACCUGAAGCCGGUAUCCUAACCGCAAGGAGGGAGCCGUCGAGGGUGGGGCCGGUGACUGGGACG
rnacentral:rRNA from 1 species